UGGUAGAGCCGAAAUGAGAGACAGGCCUCUCAGAAGCCAAUGGAAAUGGGUAGCUGGGAGCGGCCUCAUAAUUUCUUUUCAUCUCCUUCAUGAAAAUUAUGGAGAUGACCUCCCUCCCCUGCCACCCAUAUCUAUUGCUUUUGGGAGUCUCUCCCUUUUCCCUUCAUGCCAUCCACUCCCCAGGUGAUGAUUAAGCAGCUAAUUAGAGAUGUAUGUGCACCAAGUUGGCCCUUCAACUAGCAUUGCAAUUAGAAAUUGUUCUAUGAAAGGAAUAUGAGUUGUACAUGCCUGAAAAAAAAAAUUGAAAGAAAGAUAGCAUGAAACAAAUAAAUUAGUUUUGAGCACUUGCUUGAUAACAAUUAGUAAUUAUAUAUACAGCAUAUGCUAGGAUUUUUUUUUUUUAUUUGUCAAAUAUAUAUUCUGGGAUUUCAGUCAAGCAAAGCUAGCACACUUGGGAACUACUCCCUUGCCAAAUCAAAAGCAUAUAUAGAUUUAUUUUUAUUAUUAUUUUUAGAUUAAGAGCAUACGACUUCUUCAGUCAAUUAAAUACAAGUAUGCAUCGGCUGGAACAAAAACCAAUUUACUUGUGCUGCAUCAAACAAAUAAAGCUAAAAGGAAAUGAACAUAAAAACCAACUUUAAGGAAGAUUAUUAUUAAGAAAAUUACUGCAGCGACUAUAUGAUUAUCAUAUUCACUAGCACAUCAAAAUAUACAGGCAAGAAUACAAGAAGAAGGAUUGAAGCAUAUCUGAAAAUUCAGUAUUUAAUUUCAUUUUUCAGCAGAAUAAUAGCGAAAAGGCAAUCGAAAAAUGAAUAGAAAUUGACCAAAAAGAAGCAAAAAGAAAAAGAAAAGAAA